UAUAUCACUGACUUUAAUAUCGUUCCAGGCAACCUGAUGCAGAGGCAGAUGGAGGAUUUGAUAUUAUGAAAAGCAUCUACUUUAUUGAGAAUGGAGGUUUAACUACUUGGGUGUCCAUUCAGAAGACAAUUAAGUCCCUAAAAGAUGAAGCUAUGUACUACGUGACCAACAUGAAAACCGGAGCUACGGCAUGCUCUCCCCUUCGCUGCUGGAACCGCCAUAGUCCUGUCUGCUGUGGGCGUUUGGAGCGAGCAUAUCCCAGGUCGAGCUGACUUCAGUUUAAGGCCACCAUAUUAUGAACCACACGACUAAGUUUCUGCUAAGCCACAUACUUAAAGUUCCUAAAUGAAAGGACACUGGGGACCCCCAAGUGACUUCUCAUACACAGUUUCCUUCACCCAUUUUACUGCCUCUGGAGAGUGAGUAGCCUUUGUCACCUGGGCAACCCUACUCUCCUGUCCAUGCAUGGCAGCUCUGCUCCCUGGCGUCUGGUUUUGCCCACAUCACCAUCACCAACGGGCAGCCCUGUCUCAAGCGCUUGUCGCAUGCAAUCUGUGAGACCACUGCUGAGGAUUGACAAAACAAAACAAGAUCUAUAGAGGGAGGGCCAACGGUAACACACAGCCGAUAAGUAAGCAAAACGAGUUUGUCAGAUUUGCAGUAGAGGAAGGCAGAAUGACCCAGAGACCGAGUACUAGAGAGAGCUGCUUAGCGGCUUGUGAGCCAGAACUGACUGGUCCGCAGACCUUGAGGGAGAGUUCACUGUGUCUGUAGUGAGAAGGAGCCACUGAGGCUGUGGUGGAGAGAUGACCCAGCAGUUAAGACCACCACUGGCUGGUCCCACAGAGGACCCAGGCUCAUUUCUCAGUCCUGCUCACAACCAUCUGUAUCUCCAAUCCCAGGAAACCUGAUGGCCCCUUCUGGCCUCUAUGAGCAUGGGCACAUACAUGAUGCACAGACAUACAUGCAGGGGAAGUACCCAUAACCAUAACAAAAUAAAUUGAAUAAAUACAAAGAGCCACUGAACCUGGAGUCCAGAGACAAUGAAGAAGACAAGAAAAGAAGACCGGAAGACAGUAACAGAGAGCUGCUGCUCUGGUUUUGUCCCCCGGGAUGGGACAACAGGCCUGGUCUUCCUGCUCACAGGGAUCCUCAACCUCUGAUCCCCCCACUCCCAGCCCUGCCUUGAUUCCAUUUCUUGACUUCUAAUUUCCCACCCCUACCAUCCCAUCCGUAAGAUCCCAACAGUAACUGGGGCUCCUUUUCCCAACCCAUUCCCAGCACCCCCUGAAUAAACCUUAAAGCCUCGGGGCCUCUGUCACCCUCCUCACCCAGACCCCAGUCCUUGUAAUUCUUAAUUAAUUCUUAAUUAAUUACUCUCUUUCAAUCACUCUCACAUUUGUUUUAUUUAUUUCAGGAGUUUUGGCUGGAAUGAUUGCUAUAAUGUGUACUAUUUAGUAAUAUGUAUCUCCUCUUUCAAUAGCCAUUAAAAUAACUAAAAUAAAAAUAUCAGUUUAUAUUUUAUAGCCCCAUGAGCAAUCCUAUAGAUUUACUCAUAUUUAAUUGGUGCGUGCUGACUCUGCAUUGCUUGCAUUUCUGGUUUUUAU
rnacentral:lncRNA from 1 species